AGAGUGAACGCUGGCGGCAGGCCUAACACAUGCAAGUCGAACGGCAGCACAGAGGAGCUUGCUCCUUGGGUGGCGAGUGGCGGACGGGUGAGGAAAACGUCGGAAUCUGCCUAUUUGUGGGGGAUAACGUAGGGAAACUUACGCUAAUACCGCAUACGACCUACGGGUGAAAGCGGAGGACCUUCGGGCUUCGCGCAGAUAGAUGAGCCGACGUCGGAUUAGCUAGUUGGCGGGGUAAAGGCCCACCAAGGCGACGAUCCGUAGCUGGUCUGAGAGGAUGAUCAGCCACACUGGAACUGAGACACGGUCCAGACUCCUACGGGAGGCAGCAGUGGGGAAUUUUCCGCAAUGGGCGAAAGCCUGACGGAGCAAGACCGCGUGAGGGAGGAAGGCUCUGGGUUGUAAACCUCUUUUCUUGGGGAAGAACAAAAUGACGGUACCCAAGGAAUCAGCAUCGGCUAACUCCGUGCCAGCAGCCGC
rnacentral:rRNA from 1 species